AUGGAUGAGGAGAGGAGGAGGAGGAGAAUCCUUGAUUGAGAGCGGCCUUUUAUUGAGGCCAGCCUGAGGCACACCUGUGCAAUAAUCAUGUGGUCUAAUCAGCAUCUUGAUAUAACACACCUGUGAGGGGGAUGGAUUAUCUCUCACUAACACAGCUUCAGACACAUUAGUGAACAGUAUUUGAGUGGAAUAGUCCUUUAGUGUUCGUGGGAGCAAAAACAAGUGUUGUGUUUAUAUCUGUGUUCAGUGUGAGUACGAUCCUUUCUUUAUCGAGUAAUCUGUUCUAAAACAAACGUGCAUGGUGUUUAGUUUGUUCAUUCUGUGGCAAGAUGGCGGCCUCCAUGGAAGGGUCCCUCUCCUUCUGAAAAUAUAUAAGGCGAGCACAGGUGAGGAGGAAGCAGUCAGAGGAGUGAGCGGUGUCCUGUUUCAGAUUCGUGCUCGCUGAUUGUCUUCAGUCUGCUCGUGGAUAAAGUUUGACCCCUAGAGGGUUUUGCCGACAGAAGACUGCGAGAGAGAAACACGAGCACAGUAAAGACGGACACGUGAAAAUAAAGAAGACGCUUCAGGAAGACGAGACGACGGCGACGACGACGACGUUCUGAUGAAUGCUCUCCUCCCUUCGCUCAGGCCUGUGUGCUUGGACGCCUCUCUCUCUCCUCGGCUCCACGUAGAAAAUGCAUUGUCUUGAUUCAUAGAAACCUGAGUUUGUUUUUUUUUUUUGCUCGUACAUGUUCAUAUAUUUACACUUCAGCUCCCGUCACACGGAGACGAUGAUCCGGCUCGUACAGGAGAAGGUCGGAGGCGAUGUUAGCGUUGUUUGUACGUCUGAUCUUUAAAGACACAAGUCCAACAGUUUGUCCUCAAAGAGCCUGAGAGGACGACUCGCUGAGGAAACAUCCUCAGGAAGAAUCUUUCAAAAAUAACUCUCAUGUUUGUCGUGUAGAUGUCGGACGUCUCAGUGAGCUGACGCAGAUGUUUUAAAGCUGCACAACAUAUACGAUCACUUUAAGUACUUCAUUCUGAUAUCAGCACCUUCAUGAAAUCAAAUCUAGAGAGGAGGACUUUCACCCUGAAACAGAAGGCGUUUUUCACCCGCAGGAACUCUACCCCUGAACUUCGUGUGUUUUGACUGGAGGAACCAGGGUCUAAAUUUAGUUCAGGGGUAGAUAACCCCCCCAAGCACUUUUCAAAGGUCCUGGGACUUUCAGCUGAACGUGUCAGUGUUUGUGGAGUUUCCACAGCUGUUGAAACACAGAGGGAGUUCCUGGGAAUGCAAACUAGUUUAGUUUUUAUUAAGAUUUCAAAAUAUUAUUUAAUAUCAUUUAUUUCCUCCAUACGUCACCGGCCUGAUUUGCAGAAGGGACUUCAGCUCGCGGCUGAAACACAGACCACAAUGGGGGCACAGGAACCUUUUAGUUCCAGGGGAAAGUAGUUCUGGGGGCUGAAAGACCCUGGAACUCUUGGUCAAUAUGCACCUAGAGUGUUUCUCUGAUGCUCUUCAGCUACUUUCUGCAUUCAAAGAUCUUUUUCCACUCGUUCCAUCGCCUGCUUUUUGAAUAAAUUUACAGCUGAGCUCACAGGAACACUCAGAGGGGAACAGAGAGCCGAGGGACGAGUACAAAUAUGCAAAGGAAGAGAGUUUAUGCAAGAUAAGAAACUGACCCAUCAGUUCUUCCCCUGACUCUACGUCUCUGGUUCUCCUUCACGUUGAUUUGUGUCAUGAACAAGCCAGCCAAAUUAUCGUCCUCAGAUUAACUAAAAUCAGUUUGCAUGUUUUUUAAAAGUGCCUCUAAAGCUCAAAAAGUCUCCUUCUCACCACCAGAGGGCGCCCCCGUCUGCAGAGUCACUUUGUGCAGCUUUAAAACACACCGUCUGAUCGUUUGGAGAAGUUUUCACACACUUUAUGAGAAACUGUUACUGUAUGAUGAGAGGAAACACUGCCUCCCAGAUAUCAUAUAACGAGAUCUUCUCAAACUCCUCUUUGGUCACUUGUUUCAGCCCUCCUUCUCGUCUGUUAUUCUCUCUUUUUAUCUUGAGUUUUACUGACCGCACAAAACCAGAAAGACAUCCCAAACUAAAGGGAUGUUUUUAAAGAUGUAUCGUCCUCUAAAGUCUCUAUAAAGCAUCAAAUGUGGAUUCAUCCGCCACUGAAAAUAGUCCCUGACAAACACUCCUGAUCCUGCGAGUUAGACUUUGUGUUUUUGAUAAUCAGGUUUCUGAUUCUCUUUCUCAAACAGACGAUAAGUAAACAAACUGUUGGACUUGAACGUCGUCAGAGUGUCAACAAGCGUCCGUUUUGUUCUUUCUGCGUCUAAAAGCUAAAAUACUGGAGGUGUGAGAUCUAAAAACCUGUCGCUCCGGAGACGUGUCUUCAUCUCAGAGACGUCUGAUCCGAUCUGAAGAGUGAGUAAAUGCUUUGAAACCGUUCCUCUCGCUCUGAGCGGCACGUCGCCGUCCGUCCUUCUCUGCAGACGCCGUCAUCUCAGAGGCUACUUGAGGUUUUAAACACAGGAUCUACAGCUACGCAGAAACCACGACGACAGCAGAGUAACGACGACCCGAGCUCUUUAAAUGCAUACAUGAGAUUACCGUGUUCCUAUGUUCAUGUUCACGCUCCCCGUUUCACCUAAAUAAAUACAGUACUUUCUUUUUUCCUGACGCGCUGAUUGUCCAAAGCAAAGACGGGAACAGACGACGGGCUCUCAACCACGAGAGCCAAUCAGAAGAGUCCGUUAAGGUGCAGGACCUGACGGGGGAGGGCGGAGGAAGAGGAAGAGGAAGAAGAAGAAGAAGUGGAGUGGUCUCUGCGUUCCUAUUUGGCGUGAGCGGUUCCUGGGUUCAGUCAGUAGUCUGUCCCACCGGACCAGAGAGGGAGACGAGAGGAGGAGGAGGAGGAGGGCCCCGGCGGAGGUCAGAUCGAGGUCAGAGUUGAGGAGGAAGAGGAGGUUAAAGUCACAGAGCGGUGGAGGGUGAUCUUCUUUAUGCCUCUGCGCUGGGCCAGAGUGGAGCAGCCGACCGUCUCCAGGACCGGAGGGACGUUCCGUUUGAGGCCGAGUACGUCGCCUUCAUCGGCGCCCUGGAGAGAGGACGCAC